rnacentral:lncRNA from 1 species
GCUGAGAAUUGAACCAAGUCCUCGCACAUGCUAGGCAAGCACUCUACCACUGAGCCACAACCCCAACCUUUGAAUGUACUUUUAAAAGAUGUAUUUCUAAAAGAUGUAUUUCAUUAGCGAAAUACUUAAUGUGUACCUCUGAGUGUGGUUAAGCCACCAACUUGACACACAGAUUGUUUGUUUGUUUUUAUAGUUGUAGAUGGACAGAAUGCUUUUAUUUUAUUUGUUUAUUUUUAUGUGGUGCUGAGGAUGGAACCCAGUGCCUCACACAUGCUAGGCAAGUGCUCUGCCACUGAUCUACAGCCCAGUCCCUGUUUUUUAUUUUUGAUAAGCAUGUUACCUUGGUUUUUCAUUUCUUGUUAAAAAUAUACUUUUGUUUUCAGGGCACAUAUUCAGAGGUCUGAUUUUCAUUUCCGCUCCUCCCUCCUUAUUCCUUUAGCUAAUCAUUUUACCCACUUUUGAUUUAUCCUUCCAUUAUUUCUUUCUAAAAUAGAAGCAAAUGGAUAUGUAUGUGGUUAUUUCCACCCUUAUACAGAAAAUAAUAUACUGCAUAUCCUCGGGAUACUGGUAUGUUUGUGUGUAUGCGCAUAGAUAAAUGUGUGUCUGUGUGUGGGGGUAUGUGUGUAUAAGCACUUGAAAAAUCUUUCCAGAAAACAUUUUCUCUAGUUAUCCAUAUAUAUCCUCUUGUCUCAGCCUUCCAAGUCUCUGGGAUUAUAGAGUGUGCUACCAUGAUAUAUAAAUAUAUGUGUGUGUGUGUGUAUAUAUCCAUGUAUACACACGCACAAAUACUCAUGCAUACACUGGAGAUCACUUUCAUGACAUUAUAAAGAGAGCUGCUUUAUUCCCUGUUUGUAUUUCCCUUAUUCUUCUUUUUAUUAUAUAGUACUAUGAAUAGUACAUUAUAUGGAUGCACUAUAACAUAAUCAAUUAUGCAUGACAUUUGAGAUAUUUCUAGUGUUUUGCUGUUGAAAAUAGUGGUGCUUUCACAAAUAGCUUAUAAGGGGUUUGUUUUGUUUUGUUUUUACCCUUUUCCCAGGUUGUAUUUAGGAUUACUGGAAAUAUACAAAAACAUAUGUAAAUUUUGUUAUAUAGUGUCAAUUCCCCCUCUUUGAGGACUGUGCCUUUUUGUACUCCCACCAACUUCACUGACAAAUACUUGGAUUUUCUUAACCUCAUUUAGUACUGCUCAUUUAGUAGGUAUCUGUAAUUAGUUAUAUUUCUAUUAUAAAGAUUUCAGUUGAUUUUUACUUUUUGGCUGUGC